rnacentral:misc_RNA from 1 species
GAUGAAGAACGUAGCGAAAUGCGAUAAGUAAUGUGAAUUGCAGAAUUCAGUGAAUCAUCGAAUCUUUGCACGCACAUUGCGCCCAUUAGCAUUCUAGUGGGCAUGCCUGUUCGAGCGUCAUUUCAACCCUUAAGCCCUGUUGCUUAGCGUUGGGAGCCUACAGUACUGUAGCUCCCCAAAGUUAGUGGCGGAGUCGGUUUCACACUCUAGACGUAGUAAUUUUUUCUCGUCUGUAGUUGAGCCGGUCCCCUGCCGUAAAACACCCAAUUUAUCAAGGUUGACCUCGGAUCAGGUAGGAAUACCCGCUGAACUUAAGCAUAUCAAUAAGCGGAGGA